ensembl:lncRNA
CUGCGAAUAAACACAGCCAGUAAACAAUGGAGUGGAGGCCGUGCCCACGUAUAGGCAAAGUACACACGCACCACCAAAUUGCAGAAGUGUAAACUCAGGACCUCACAGCUCUGUCAAUUUACACAGACAUUCAAUUCAUUCUAUUAAUUUUAGACAUAUAAUGUCAACAGUGACAGAGUUUGAGCUCAAAUAAAUGCCGUGAUGUCUGGAGCCCUUUGCAGAAGGCAGACGGCAGGGGCUCUCCGAUGGGCUUCCGUGGCUUGCCAACAACAAGCAUCGACUGUUUUUGCACAGAUGUGCGGGGCUUUGAUUCGAUGGAAACUUUUCAAUGGCGGCCCACCGUCUACUUUCAACACACUACUCGGACCUUAAAAGGCACUUUCCUGUUUGACGUACCUGGCUGCAAUAUGAAAUAUCAAAGCCUCUGUCAGUGUGGAGCUGAAUGGGAACAAAAGAGAGGCCUCCAUUAAUGAUUAACUGUUCUAAAAGCCCCGGCUUUUGUAUUCCCAUGGUGCCCGGGCUAUCUUGCCGCCAUGUGACAUGCUCACAGCAUUUUUCGAGCAGAUUGGGGGAAAGCUAGUGAGCAAACACAGGUGCUUUGGAGCGGCGUUGGCGAUGCUGUCAGGGACAACCACAAACAAGAGCAGCUAUGCCUGGCUAAAUGAACCCCCGCCACACCCCCUUCCCCCCCCCCGCCCCGCCACCACCAGCCACACACCCGACCCCCGAACGCUGCAGUGCUAGCUAACUUGUUUGCUAGCUGCCUAGCUCUCGCAUAAAGCCAAAGCCUCCCUUCUGGAGAGUCUGCCCCCUCCCCUCCUCAAACCCCGCCCCCCAGACACAGUCCAAUGUUCACUACAGCUGAGCUCCACAACUUCUCACACCCUCCAAAGAAACAAACAAAUAAACGUGAGGACUGCAGAGCACUUCUUUGAGGCGAUGGCGUUUGCUGUGAUCACGAUUAGUGGGAGAGCAAACACAUUAACGAUGUUCCGGUUUACACUUUCCAAAGCAAAAUAAAAUGUCUUUCACUUCAAGUGGGGCCAUUCUAGUGACCCCCCCAGUGACAAAUAAAGCAUAUAUGGGCUGGAUGAUCUCUGCUUAAGAAUUGGAAGCUAAUAAAACACAUUUUGUGAUGGGUACCCCAUCGGUACCUCUUAGCAUACAAAAUACUCUCAUAAAUAUCUGGAGUUUUUGUUUUUGUCCAUGUUUCUUUUGUUGGAGUUAAUGGCAAGGACAUGUGUAACUAAAGUCAACCAUCGCUUCCUACUGCCUGGCUGGCAUAAAAGCGACUAGGGGGGUGCUGCAUGUCGCACAACUUACGAUAAGACCAUCCAGAUGAUAGCCAUGCGUUAUCUUUACAUGGCUUUCCGGCCGGGAGACAAAUGAACAAAGUGUGAUAACAGGAACAAAAGCUCAGCUCUUAUUGGCUGUGGGCUUAAUAGAAAAAAAUUGUUUCAUGGAAAAACCACAAAAGGUGCAGUUCAUUUAUUUUUUAAUUUUCUCCAUUGCCAAGGUCUCACGGUUUAUCGCUUCCAAUAUUUAUAUUGACUUUGGUGGGAAAUAUGCUUUUGUGGGAUGCAAUUACCCGGACCUAUAAAGCAGUUCUUACAAGUGGAAAGACGAUAAAACGUGUUUCAGGAAAACACUUCAAAUUAACCAGAGGGGGAAAUGAAUUCAUAAAGGAGAGGGAGAGAGAAAGAGAGAGAGAGAAAGGGAGAGAGAGGUCAAAAGUGGUUACCUCAGAGACGGGCUGAUGAUCAGUGAAGCACCACUUCUCUCUGGCUGGGCUUUUCCAGCCCAAUUCUCCGUCUCUCAGAGGUUUGUGUAUACUCAGGGAAUCACUCACGGCCCGUGUUUGCUCCAUUUCCCCAAAAAUAAUUGGAAAAAAAUAUGGUUGCCUUGACAUGAAAUGUUCGGCCGAGAAAAGAAAAAAAGAAGCUGAUUAUCCCCGUUAUAAUUGUAAGAAUAAAGCAUUUACAUUUUUGAGCAACAGUGUCGUUUAUUGAAGUCAGAGAGAUGUGAUUAUAAGCUUUUGUUGACUGCACUAUAAUUAAACCAAAAGGAAAAAUCCCCCUUCACAUUUUUAGGUCAAGUUUUACCGCCUCAAACCUGAAGCCUGCCAUCUUUAUGGAUUCUGCAAAGGUGACUGAAAAUGGUGUGGAUCUAUUCAUCCAUUUCGGUCUCCCCCUCCGGUUUUCCUUAUUUCCUCUGGCCAACCGCAGGGAUUUACCCCGCGCCGGCCGUGAGCAGAGUCUGAUCAGAGGAGUUACAAAGCCUCACUUUUAGGGGUCUUACUGUAAUUCACCGGGCUGCUUUGUGAAGUGUGGGGGCCCGCAUCUCAAGAGGGAUUUGAGACAACAUCUUUGUUGCGUCCUCAUUGUCCCGCGCGCCAAAGUCGUCCAGCCCCCCCUUAUUGUGGAGCGGAGCAAAACUCGCCUCAGAACCCGGCUCAAUCAAAGAAAAGUUUUCCAUUAAUGAGGUAAGACAUGAAAGCUCAUUGAAGGCGGCCACAUGUUGAAAGGUCUUUUUGAUCUCACCGGGGCACAAUGGCCGAAUUUGAAAAGAGCAAAGUGUGCUCUGAGCGCCAAUGCGCCGCUUUAAACCUCUGGUCUUUU